rnacentral:lncRNA from 1 species
GUCCUUUUAUUUGUAUUUACCCACAGAGUUUAUACUACUAGUAAUAGUUAUUAUCAUUGUAUUUGUUGUUAUAGAGAAGAUUAAAUUGAGUAUUGCCACUUGGCAGUCUCUGUUCAAAGCAAUUUAAGUUCUUCCAGCUCAAUCAGUCUAAGACCACCAGGGACAAGCUCCUAGUCCCACUAAGUUGGGUUGCUGAUUCAUUGCAAUGAGGGAGAGCACACAUCAGAGGAAGUGUGGGGCAUCUUACCAAAUAAAGGAACCAAUGCAGUUAUUACAGGAUUUUGGAGAAAGGUGGAGUUUUAGGCAAGAUUAAACUAAAGUAGUAUUCUGAUGGGCUCAAAGCAAAGCAGUGCCAUAUUUAAUGGAUCAACAUUAUAUCUGGACACAAAGUAGACCCAGGGUUGGUCCUGUUAAGGUCCUGUUAAUUACUUUGAAAUACCAAAGUUAAGGUAGAUGUAAAAUAUUGCAGCCAGAAACCUCUUAUUUGAAGGUUUGCACAUGAGUUGUUAACUCUGGGCUGCUUUUUUUUUUUUUUUUUUUAAUGUUAAAAUAGCUGAAAUCUUCCAGGUAAGAGGGGGAUGUUUUUAUGGGAAACCUCCAAGAACAGAGACCAGUAGGCUCACACGGCCAGCAAGGAAAUGGGACCCUAGUCCUACAACUGCAAGGAACUGAAUUUGGGCAACAACCUGAAUGAUCUUGGAAACAUUCUUCCCCAGAGCCUCCAGAAAAGAAUGCAGCCUGGCCAAUACUCUGAUUUUACCAUUAUGAGACCCUUAGCAGAAGAGCCAAGGGAGCCCACCCAGACUUCUGACCUACAGAAACUGUGGGAUAAUAAAUGUGUGUUUAAAAAAACUGAAGCCCAAACCAAGCAACCAAGCAAUCCAAGAGAGAGAUGUUUCAUGCAUACUGAUGUGAUUUCAACAUCACAUUUCUGAUAGUCUAUGACUUUGAAGAACAAAGUUUCUCACUAAAUAAGAAAGCAGAUGUCACCCAACGAAGAGGGUUUUAUGACACUUUACAAGAGUGGUGUGUCCUUGCAAGAAAUAUCAUUAGCUGUUAACUUUGCAGCUGUUUUCAUCUUUUGUCUGUUAUCCAAGCCUGAUGAAUGGCCAGACAUUUUUACUUUCUCAGUCCAAGCUAAUGUUUACUUUCUCAAAGUAUUAACUUAUUUAAUCUUCAAAACAAUACUUUGGAAUAGGUGAUAUUAUCAUUCCCCUUUUUAUAGAUGAAGAAACUGAAGCAUCAGGAGUGAUAAGUUGCUUAAGGGGCAAGAGGGAGGUCGUAAGGAGUGGUACCAGGCUUCAACUCAGGCCAUCUGCUUUCGAAACCAAGUACUUGGGUGGACUACUAAUUGAGCCCUUACACACAGGCCAGUAACAGAUAGUACCUUAGCAAAUGGAAAGAAAAUUCCUCUUAGGGAAGAAAAAUUAUUUACAAACAUUUUUCAGGCCAGAAUGUGAGAUGGGUUAGUCCAUGUGAUAGCACCAAUAAAGAAGAUAAUUGAACCCUCCAUAUUAACAAUAAUGAAAGUCCUAAUGCUUGCAUGCACUCAUACGUGCUAGGGGCUACAUAUGUGUAUUAACUCACUUUAAAAAACAUUAUAUAUGUUAACUCACUUUACAAAUCACUUGUGAACUAGGGUGGUUCCUAUUUCACAGACACGGAAAGUGUGGCCCACAGGUCUAAAGUACCUUGCCCAAGGGCACACGAAUUGUAAUGGAUAGAGCUGGAAUCCAUACCCCAGAGGCCUGGUUCCAAAGCCUGAUAUCUUAGCUAUUUUGCUAUAUAGAAAUAUAUGAGAAUUAGAGGACACAGGGACAAAAAGAAGGGAAAGAGAAAUAGAGGUGAUGGGCUGGCUGAGCCUUAUUGCAAGAGAAUAGAAGGAUUUUGAAGCUCAAAUGGCAAAUAUUCAUUUCAAAGUUAUUUGCAUUGCUGUAAUAUAAACAUCCCUCUCUCCCCAAAUCGCUAUACAUAUAAAGGUCUUAUGUAAAUGUGAUUCUUUGGUAGCGGAGGUGGCAGUCAGGGGAAAACUAUGAGUUUCACUUUUGGUUAAAAAAAAGUUCCAAAAUAUGUAAUGGAAAGUGUAUAAUUCACACAAGGUUGAAAGUAGAAGCCAGAGGGAAAUAGAAUUUACAAUUCUUUUUGGUUGGGUGAGGAUUUGUAACUUUCCAGAACAUGCACAGAGAUUUGAGUCAAUCUCACCAAAGCCUUAAGGAGCUAGAAGACUUUAGUUAACACCCAAGUUGGAUUUCCGUUAAGCAAUUUCAGAGAGAACACUCUGAGUUGAAUUUAAUCAAACCAGUAGCAGGUGAUAUAUUAUUAACUGUUAAUUAUUUCUAAUUAUUUCUAGCAUAGUAUCAGGUACUUGGUAGUCCUAGAAUAAAUAAAUAUUUGUUGAAUAAAAAUAAUGAAGACAUUAAUGACUGGUUAUUUUUAAACCAUAAUGAUUAAGGGACAGAAAUAAAUUAAUUAUUUCAUUCUGAUAUGCUUAUAGGCAAUGAGAAAAUUCUUUCCCACCCUCACACUGUUUACAUCUUUAUCUUCUGGGUUAGAGUAUAGACUACAGAUGGUUGCUAGUCCCCUCCUGUCUAUGACAAUAGCACCUGGUGCCUGUGUUGUGACUAAAAGCAACAAGUUGGUGGUACUUGAGUCAUCAAGUUCUAGAUAACUGAAGUUGAUUUGAAGACAUAAUGCAUGUAAAACGGAAAGCACAAAGUCUUUCAUGACCUCUCCUAAAUUUUUGCAUUAACCAUUUUCCAAAAUGGAAAACUUUUUAUAAUGUAUCAUAACUUUUAAGUCCCAGUUUUCUGAACCUAUUAAACUCUUUCUUUGUUUUCAGUAAUUCAUUUUUAUGAACUCUCAUUGACUGGCCAAAUAUUUACUGAGCACUCCUUUCUGGGCUGCGAUGCAAUGGUGGUCUUGAGUGCAAGUAGUUGGCGGCAUUCUUGGUUUCAAAUAGCAGAAUCCACUCUACCAGUUAAAUAAUAAAAUACACUUAUGCCAAGAUACUAAAUAGCUUGUAGCAUUAUAGAAUGUAAGAGAAUUAGACAUGGAGCCUAUGCAGUCCGGAAUGAUGGCCAAAUGACACCAAUGGCUGCCCUAAGAGAGACCAAAGUUCUGCCACCAUCAGGCACCAACCCUACAGGUUUUACUCUCUGUGGGGUGCUAUCUCAGCUACUGUUUCCUCUGAAGCAGGCAUUCUCUCUGCCACAAUUAUUCACCCUCAGCAGAGAAUGGGUUCCCCAUGGCAACUGCUUUCUCUUCCAAGUCCAAGUUGGGAAUGUGUGAUGGAAUGGGGUUGAGGUCACAUGUCCAUGCCAUAAUUACAAGCAAAUAAAUGAUUAUAGCUCCUACCUAAGGGUGGCAGACUUAAAAGAGGAGAAAUUAUCCAAAAAAUAGAAAGGCCACGUCAAACAAGCUGGGUAGUCACAUACAUGGCACAUGCCCACUACAGCCAUGAAGUCAUGUGGGAGGCAUCUUUUUGACAAGGAGGGCCCUGCUUUAAAGGAUCUUAGCUUGCUGCUUCAUUUUACUUGGUCUUUCUUGGUCUUAUCUCUUCUUCACUCUUAGUUGUCAUUUAUUCCCACUACUGGUUAAUGGGGGAAAAAUACUCUUUAUUUUUAAUUAGUUAUGAUGGGUAUAAUUUAUUGAGCUCCUAGUAUGUUCUAGGCUCUAUGUAAGAAAGUUUUACAUAUAUAUAUAUUUUUUGUUGUUGUUUGUUUAUUUUAUUUUAUUUUAUUUUUUUUGAGAUGGAGUCUCACCCUGUCGCCCAGGCUGGAGUGCAAUGGCACGAUCUCGGCUCACUGCAACCUCUGCCUCCCACGUUCAACCGAUUCUCCUGUCUCAGCCUCGCGGAUAGCUGGGACUACAGGGUCUCACUCUGUCACCCAGGCUGGAGUGCAGUGGCAUGAUCUAGGCUCAACUUCUUCCUUCUGGACUCAAGUGAUCCUCUCACCUCAGCCUCCCAAGUAGCUGGGACUACAGGUGCGUACUACCACACCCAGCUAAUUUUUGUAUUAUUUUGUAGAGUCAGGGUCUUACUAUGUCGUUGCCCAGGCUGGGCUUGAAUGACUGGGCUCAAGCGAUCGGCCCACCUUGGCCCCCCAAAAUGUUGGGAUUACGGGUGUGAGCCACUGUGCCCAGCCUCAAGUAUAUAUUGCUUGAACAAAUCUGACAUUUCGGAUUUCCCUCAAGUGAUCUUGUCCUUUAAGACAAACACUAAAAAAGUUCAUUCUCCUCAAAUAAUUUGGAUGGGGAGUUUUUGCAAUAAACUAAGAAGAAAUCAGCACCCUGUAGUACAUUCCUUAGGUACUUUAUUAAGGCUGAGGAGGUAUCAUAUGAGUUGUAGAGAUCUUUCUGUAAUGUUCUACUUCUCUGAAAGACUUGAAUUCACGGUGUGAAAAUAUAAUUUUCACAUGGCUUAGGAUGUCAGGCUGGUUUCCCAGUUCUUACUCUGCUUUUAUUUAUUUAUUUGCAUGUAGCAAAAUGUCUUCUGCUUUUUUUUAAAAGGUGAAGGCAGGCCAGGUGUGGUGACCCACACUUGUAAACUCAGGACUUUGGGAGGCCGAGGCAGGAGGAGCAUUUGAGCCCAAGAGUUUGAGACCAAACUUGGUAACAUACAGAGACCUUGUCUCUAUUUAAAAAAAAAAAAAAGAAAAAAAAUCUUUUAAAAAGGUCAAGGCAUUGCCUUGAAAACUGCUGAGAUAAGUCCCAGUGGUCUGAUUAUAGCUACCCUCAGCUCACUUGCUCAGGGCUGACACAAACAUCUCAGCUUUGAGUGAGCACGGUGUUCCCCUCUCUGUGUGUAGAUGUGUUUUCGUGUGCGUGGCUAUGAAUGUGAGGUCAACCAGGUGCUGGAAAUGUUUGGUUGACAUUAUAUGGCACAUGGCCUGACUUUAACCUGACAACAGCAGGCCUGGCUAUAUGUGCCACCAAUGGCAGGAUUCAUUUUAUUCCUCUUCCGUAUUUGGAUGCUUGGCACUCUCGCGGUUCGCCCUGCAACAACCAAUGGGCUUCUUCUCUGGCUCUUUUUCACGGUGCUGUGGCUGGGCUCUAGAAUAUAGAGUACCACUGGGUGACCUUGCAAUAAAGAACGCAAAGCCCCCAAAAUGGCACUGGGCUCAUUAGCAGCUAUUCUCCUCAGGUCCCCUGCACAGGGCAGACUUCUUAGGAGGAAGAGAAGCAAGAUAGGAUCAGAAUCAGGUCCUGAGUCAGGCCCCAAAUUAUCGCUGAGUUUCGUUCCUGGCAGAAAAGCCCCACACCUGACCCCAAGCAUCAACCUGCAAAUUGGCCUUCAGAG